ACUCCUGCGGGAGGCAGCAGUGGGGAAUAUUGGACAAUGGGCGCAAGCCUGAUCCAGCCAUGCCGCGUGAGUGAUGAAGGCCCUCGGGUUGUAAAGCUCUUUCACCGGUGAAGAUAAUGACGGUAACCGGAGAAGAAGCCCCGGCUAACUUCGUGCCAGCAGCCGCGGUAAUACGAAGGGGGCUAGCGUUGUUCGGAUUUACUGGGCGUAAAGCGCACGUAGGCGGACUAUUAAGUCAGGGGUGAAAUCCCGGGGCUCAACCCCGGAACUGCCUUUGAUACUGGUAGUCUUGAGUUCGAGAGAGGUGAGUGGAAUUCCGAGUGUAGAGGUGAAAUUCGUAGAUAUUCGGAGGAACACCAGUGGCGAAGGCGGCUCACUGGCUCGAUACUGACGCUGAGGUGCGAAAGCGUGGGGAGCAAACAGGAGUAGAUACCCCGGUAGUCCCAUGAU
rnacentral:rRNA from 1 species